ACUCCUACGGGAGGCAGCAGUGGGGAAUAUUGCACAAUGGGCGCAAGCCUGAUGCAGCCAUGCCGCGUGUAUGAAGAAGGCCUUCGGGUUGUAAAGUACUUUCAGCAGUGAGGAAGGUGGGUAUGUUAAUAGCAUACUCAUUUGACGUUAGCUGCAGAAGAAGCACCGGCUAACUCCGUGCCAGCAGCCGCGGUAAUACGGAGGGUGCGAGCGUUAAUCGGAAUUACUGGGCGUAAAGCGCAUGCAGGUGGUUUGUUAAGUCAGAUGUGAAAGCCCGGGGCUCAACCUCGGAAUUGCAUUUGAAACUGGCAAACUAGAGUACUGUAGAGGGGGUAGAAUUUCAGGUGUAGCGGUGAAAUGCGUAGAGAUCUGAAGGAAUACCGGUGGCGAAGGCGGCCCCCUGGACAGAUACUGACACUCAGAU
rnacentral:rRNA from 1 species